rnacentral:rRNA from 1 species
AGCUCCAAUAGCGUAUAUUAAAGUUGUUGCGGUUAAAAAGCUCGUAGUUGGAUUUCUGCUGAAGCAAACCGGUCCGCCCUCUGGGUGAGCAUCUGGCUUUAUUUUGGCAUAUGUUUGGACUUUGCAGCUGCACUUGACUGUGUGGUGUGAAGGCCAAGCCAUUUACUUUGAGGAAAUCAGAGUGUUUCAAGCAGGCAAUUGCCUUGAAUACAUUAGCAUGGAAUAAUAUGAUAUGACUGUGGUUUUAUUUUGUUGGCUUCUAGAAUUGGAGUAAUGAUUAAUAGGGAUAGUUGGGGGCAUUCAUAUUUAACUGUCAGAGGUGAAAUUCUUGGAUUUGUUAAGGAUGAACGACUGCGAAAGCAUUUGCCAAGGAUGCUU